AAGGUGGGUGCGAUACACGAGUGACCCUUCCUGAGGUGGGUGCGAUACACGAGUGACCCUCCCAGAGGUGGUGAGAAGGGACAAGGUGAGACAGGCAUUGUUGACAGGCCAUCCUCCCGUCAGAGGAGAAAGAGCCCAAGAAGGAGGGAUGGGCAAAAAGCUGCAAGCAGGGAAAGAGGCAGGGCAGCCAGGCAGCUCCCCAUAGGGCAAAAGAAGGCAGUGGUCCAAGGCCCCCAAAGGCAGACUAGCGAGUAGGCCCGAUCCAAAAGCCCAGGGAAGGAAGGGAAAACA